rnacentral:lncRNA from 10 species
GAAGCCUCCCCAGCUAUGCUUCCUGUACAACCUGUGGAACUUCCCUUGCUGAAAAUGCUUCAGUGGCUCUCCAUGGCCCUUAAAGUCAAGUACAAAGUCUACAAGCGGAAAAGUGAUCUGCAAAGCCCUUCAGGAUCUGACCCCAGAGGAAAUUUGUUUUGCAACAGAAAACAUAAGAAAUUUUCCCUGCUUGGAAGAUACUCAUACAUACCAG